CUGGCUCAGGAUGAACGCUGGCGGCGUGCCUAAUACAUGCAAGUCGAACGAGUUCUCGUUGAUGAUCGGUGCUUGCACCGAGAUUCAACAUGGAACGAGUGGCGGACGGGUGAGUAACACGUGGGUAACCUGCCCUUAAGUGGGGGAUAACAUUUGGAAACAGAUGCUAAUACCGCAUAGAUCCAAGAACCGCAUGGUUCUUGGCUGAAAGAUGGCGUAAGCUAUCGCUUUUGGAUGGACCCGCGGCGUAUUAGCUAGUUGGUGAGGUAAUGGCUCACCAAGGCGAUGAUACGUAGCCGAACUGAGAGGUUGAUCGGCCACAUUGGGACUGAGACACGGCCCAAACUCCUACGGGAGGCAGCAGUAGGGAAUCUUCCACAAUGGACGCAAGUCUGAUGGAGCAACGCCGCGUGAGUGAAGAAGGCUUUCGGGUCGUAAAACUCUGUUGUUGGAGAAGAAUGGUCGGCAGAGUAACUGUUGUCGGCGUGACGGUAUCCAACCAGAAAGCCACGGCUAACUACGUGCCAGCAGCCGCGGUAAUACGUAGGUGGCAAGCGUUAUCCGGAUUUAUUGGGCGUAAAGCGAGCGCAGGCGGUUUUUUAAGUCUGAUGUGAAAGCCCUCGGCUUAACCGAGGAAGCGCAUCGGAA
rnacentral:rRNA from 2 species